AAUAAAAUGGCUGAGUUAUAUUAAGCGAUAAAUUGUAAAUUUAUUUACGAGAAAUUUUCUCUUUUAUUA
rnacentral:tRNA from 1 species